AAACAGAAACCAAGCCGCUGAGCCUGAGAUGUUCUUUAAAAUAUAACGAGGACCUGUGUUUGGCUCACACCCGUUUCUCCAGUUCUAGAGGAUCAUCUUUCUUCUGGACCACACAGGCACAAAACACAGAUCAUCAUGUUUAUGCAGCUGGUUCUGUGAUUCGACGAAAGAGUUAACUCUGCUGAUGAGCAAGAACAUAGAUUGUGAACCUCUGACUUUGCAUCACAUCUGUGUGGAUGGAAACAGUGGCCAGCCUGCACUCAAUGUACUGGAUAAAGUGUACUGACACGAAGGACAAGAUGCCCAACUGAUUGAAGAAGAUGGAAAGGGUACGGAUCACCUACAGCAAAGUGCAGGGUUGGUUAAUGUUUCCCAAUGUCACCUCCCCUGCCGCUGGAAAUCAGGAUGCUUGACACCCGGACACCAAAUUAUUAAAGUUUCAAGCAGUGACACUUUCUUCUCCAUGUGGGGCCUGGCUUCUCCUUGACACUUUGUCCCUACAGUCCCUUCAGGCCCCUUGGCCUUUUCUCCCUGCCUUUAACCUCCAUAACUAAUUAGAUCUGGCCAACUCUUCAGUGAAAAUAGUUUGCUUCAAAGUUUUCAUUCAGUGUUCCCUUCUGGGCAUACUUUGUCAUGUCAGUCCAGCCUGCCCUUUUUACAUGAAGUUAAAAGGCUGAGCUAUUUUUAUAAGAUUAAACAACAACAACAACAACAACAACAACAAUAAAACAACAAAAAAACCCAUCUUUGAAGAUCUCCACCUACCUCAAUGCUUUACAUAAGGACUAGAGUGUCACGUCUGACAAAAGCUUCACAAGCCAUGAAAUUAUUAGUUUUAGAAGUUUGUGGAUAAACAAACAGUUCUAAGGAUUUUGGUCUUAUUUGUGGGAGUUAAAAUUUAAUGAUUUGUUGUCUGCUAGCAGUUUUAUUUGGGAUCUAUUUACCUUCUGCACUAAAAAAGUAGACAAUGAAACUAACCAACCAACCAACUAACCAAUCAACCAACAACCAACCAACGAACCAAAGACUGAGCAAUAUAGUUGGGCUCAUCUUCAGUAACUUUCUUUGGAAAUCUUGUUAGACAUUUAAGCAGCAUCAUUAAUGUCAUUCUCUAUUUCGGAAAAGACAAAGGUGAAGCUGAAGACAAUAGAGAGUUAAUUUUUC
ensembl:antisense Gm15689 predicted gene 15689